CCUACGGGUGGCAGCAGUGAGGAAUAUUGGUCAAUGGGCGUAAGCCUGAACCAGCCAAGUCGCGUGAGGGAUGAAGGUUCUAUGGAUCGUAAACCUCUUUUAUAAGGGAAUAAAGUGCGGGACGUGUCCCGUUUUGUAUGUACCUUAUGAAUACGGAUCGGCUAACUCCGUGCCAGCAGCCGCGGUACUACGGAGGAUCCGAGCGUUAUCCGGCUUUAUUGGGUUUAAAGGGUGCGUAGGCGGCCUUUUAAGUCAGCGGUGAAAUCAUGUGGCUCAACCAUUGAAUUGCCGUUGAAACUGGGAGGCUUGAGUAUGUUAGAGGCAGGCGGAAUGCGUGGUGUAGCGGUGAAAUGCUUAGAGAUCAGGCAGAACCCCGAUGGCGAAGGCAGCCUGCCAAGCCAUAACUGACGCUGAUGCACGAAAGCGUGGGGAUCAAACAGGAUUAGAUACCCGAGUAGUC
rnacentral:rRNA from 1 species